GCGAACGCUGGCGGCAGGCUUAACACAUGCAAGUCGAGCGCCUGUAGCAAUACAGGAGCGGCAGACGGGUGAGUAACGCGUGGGAACGUACCUUCUGGUUCGGAAUAACUCAGGGAAACUUGAGCUAAUACCGAAUAAGUCCUUCGGGAGAAAGAUUUAUCGCCGGAAGAUCGGCCCGCGUAAGAUUAGCUUGUUGGUGAGGUAACGGCUCACCAAGGCUACGAUCUUUAGCUGGUCUGAGAGGAUGAUCAGCCACAUUGGGACUGAGACACGGCCCAAACUCCUACGGGAGGCAGCAGUGGGGAAUAUUGGACAAUGGGCGCAAGCCUGAUCCAGCCAUGCCGCGUGAGUGAUGAAGGCCUUAGGGUUGUAAAGCUCUCUUAGCAGGGACGAUAAUGACGGUACCUGCAGAAAAAGCCCCGGCCAACUUCGU
rnacentral:rRNA from 1 species